rnacentral:rRNA from 1 species
UACGGAGGGUGCAAGCGUUAAUCGGAAUUACUGGGCGUAAAGCGCGCGUAGGUGGUUAGAUAAGUUGUCUGUGAAAGCCCUGGGCUUAACCCGGGAAGGUCAGGCAAAACUGUUUAGCUUUGAGUACAAGAGAGGGUAGUGGAAUUUCCGGUGUAGCGGUGAAAUGCGUAGAUAUCGGAAGGAACACCAGUGGCGAAGGCGGCUACCUGGCUUGAUACUGACACUGAGGCGCGAAAGCGUGGGGAGCAAACAGG